CGCACUGAUGAAUUCGAUUCUUUGAAUGUUCCUUGACCGCAGUCUUUGGCUGUGAUGAAAGGCUUUAUCGAUGAACCCUUUAACUCUGAGCU
rnacentral:sRNA from 2 species